rnacentral:rRNA from 1 species
AGAGUUUGAUCCUGGCUCAGGACGAACGCUGGCGGCGUGCCUAACACAUGCAAGUCGAGCGGUCCAGCACUCAAGCUUGCUUGGGUGCUGGGUAGCGGCGAACGGGUGAGUAACGCGUGGGUGACCUGCCCGGGAGACUGGGAUAACAGUUCGAAAGGGCUGCUAAUACCGGAUGAUCCCCAGCACUCAACCGAAGGAAUCAGCUGUUGUUUUAGAGGAAAGCCUUCUUUUAGGUUUGAUGAGGUUUUUUUCUAGGGUGCGGCUUGGUUUUUUGGGUUGAGUGCUGGGGCAAAGCGUUUAGCGCUCCUGGAUGGGCCCGCGUCCCAUUAGCUAGUUGGUGGGGUAAUGGCCUACCAAGGCGGCGAUGGGUAGCCGGUCUGAGAGGAUGGUCGGCCACACUGGGACUGAGACACGGCCCAGACUCCUACGGGAGGCAGCAGUGGGGAAUUUUGCGCAAUGGGGGGAACCCUGACGCAGCGACGCCGCGUGGGUGAUGAAGGCCUUCGGGUUGUAAAGCCCUGUUGGGGGGGAAGAUAAUGACGGUACCCCCUGAGGAAGCCCCGGCUAACUACGUGCCAGCAGCCGCGGUAAU